rnacentral:snRNA from 1 species
UCACAUGUCAGACUUCAGAGAUCU